AAUGGGCGGGACAAAGGGUCGCGACCUCGCGAGGGUGAGCUAACUCCAAAAACCCGUCCUCAGUUCGGAUUGCAGGCUGCAACUCGCCUGCAUGAAG
rnacentral:rRNA from 1 species